rnacentral:rRNA from 1 species
UACGUAGGUGACAAGCGUUAUACGGAAUUACUGCGCGUAAAGCGCACGCAGGUGGCUACUUAAGUCUGACGUGAAAGCUCCUGGCUUAACUGGGAGAGGUCGUUGGAAACUGAGUGGCUUGAGGCGAUGAGAGGGGUAUGGAAUUCCCGGUGUAAUUGUGGAAUGCGUAUAGAUCGGGAGGAACACCAGUGGCGAAAGCGAUACCCUAGCGUGAGCCUGACGCUCAUGUGCGUCAGCGUGGGGAGCGAACGGG